ACAGCAGUCGCCACGGUAAUACGAAGGGUGCAAGCGUUACUCGGAAUUACUGGGCGUAAAGCGUGCGUAGGUGGUGGUUUAAGUCCGUUGUGAAAGCCCUGGGCUCAACCUGGGAAUUGCAGUGGAUACUGGGUCACUAGAGUGUGGUAGAGGAUAGUGGAAUUUCCGGUGUAGCAGUGAAAUGCGUAGAGAUCGGGAGGAACAUCAGUGGCGAAGGCGGCCAUCUGGGACAACACUGACGCUGAGGCACGAAAGCGUGGGGAGCAAACAGGAUUAGAUACCCCCGUAGUCCCUGUCUCUUAUAC
rnacentral:rRNA from 1 species